rnacentral:rRNA from 1 species
GACGAACGCUGGCGGCGUGCUUAACACAUGCAAGUCGUACGGUAAGGCCCUUUCGGGGGUACACGAGUGGCGAACGGGUGAGUAACACGUGAGUAACCUGCCCACAACUUUGGGAUAACGCUAGGAAACUGGUGCUAAUACUGGAUAUGUGCUCCUGCUGCAUGGUGGGGGUUGGAAAGCUCCGGCGGUUGUGGAUGGGCUCGCGGCCUAUCAGCUUGUUGGUGGGGUAGUGGCCUACCAAGGCGGCGACGGGUAGCCGGCCUGAGAGGGUGACCGGCCACAUUGGGACUGAGAUACGGCCCAGACUCCUACGGGAGGCAGCAGUGGGGAAUAUUGCACAAUGGGCGCAAGCCUGAUGCAGCAACGCCGCGUGCGGGAUGACGGCCUUCGGGUUGUAAACCGCUUUCAGCAGGGACGAAGCUUUUUGUGACGGUACCUGCAGAAGAAGCACCGGCUAACUACGUG